rnacentral:rRNA from 1 species
CAAAACCUGGUUGAUCCUGCCAGUAGUCAUAUGCUUGUCUCAAAGAUUAAGCCAUGCAUGUCUAAGUAUAAACAUUUAUACUGUGAAACUGCACAUGGCUCAUUAAAUCAGUUAUAGUUUAUUUGAUGGUACCUUACUACAUGGAUAACCGUAGUAAUUCUAGAGCUAAUACAUGCGUAAAGUCCCGACCUUUUG